CCUACGGGAGGCAGCAGUGAGGAAUAUUGGUCAAUGGGCGGAAGCCUGAACCAGCCAAGUAGCGUGCAGGAUGACGGCCCUACGGGUUGUAAACUGCUUUUAUACGGGAAUAACGCGCCUUACGUGUAGGGCUUUGCAUGUACCGUAUGAAUAAGGACCGGCUAAUUCCGUGCCAGCAGCCGCGGUAAUACGGAAGGUCCGGGCGUUAUCCGGAUUUAUUGGGUUUAAAGGGAGCGUAGGCCGCAUGUCAAGCGUGCUGUGAAAUGUCCGGGCUCAACCCGGGCCUUGCAGCGCAAACUGGCGUGCUUGAGUCCGCGGAAAGCAGGCGGAAUUCGGCGUGUAGCGGUGAAAUGCUUAGAUAUGACGAAGAACCCCGAUUGCGAAGGCAGCCUGCUGCAGCGGAACUGACGCUGAUGCUCGAAAGCGCGGGUAUCGAACAGGAUUAGAUACCCCUGUAGUC
rnacentral:rRNA from 1 species